UGAAGGUUUUGCUAAUUCCCUCUCUAUAAAUAAAGAUUCCCUCCAAGUAAAAAAUUUUUUGAAUGUGUAAUUCUUCCUUGAGCCGGGAGACCUAGUCCGGUUCGAUUCAAUUUCGGGCUUGAAGCACAAGGGCUAUCUCCCCUUGUUUCUUGAUUAAAGCCGGGUUAAGCUUGAACCAUUCUCUAAUCUGCUUCUAACGUGAGGUUGAAGGUGAAUCAAAAUGUUAGGUGAUUGGAAUUCGUAGAUUCUAAAUAUGUAAAACUGAAAAACUUCAUUUAUGUUCUUAGAGAGAAUGACCAUGCAUGAUAGAUUUAUUGAUUGACCAUAAGUUGUCGUGGUCAUGUAAAUUUGCUUAAAUGAUACAUACAUGAUUAAGAAUCCUAUUCAUACUGACUCAUCUUCUUUGCUUAAGAACCGAAUUUCAUGCGACAUACAAAUGUAACUCUUCUUUGACCUUUUUAAAUAGGACAUUGGGUAUUCAAAUCUCUUAAAUCC